rnacentral:rRNA from 1 species
AUCACGCUGGCGGCGUGCCUAACGCAUGCAAGUCGAACGUCCUGCGGCUUUUCGGAGCAGCAGGGAGUGGCGGACGGGUGAGUAACACAUGGGUGACCUGGCCUCAAGUGAGGGAUACCGGCGAGAAAUCGCCGACAAACCCGCAUAGGCUCCCAGUCGUAGGGGCAGGGAGCAAAGCCUUUUUUCGCAAGAGGAGAGGUGCUUGAGGAUGGGCCUGUGGCCGAUUAGCUAGUUGGUGGGGUAAGAGCCCACCAAGGCCAUGAUCGGUAGCUGGUCUGAGAGGACGAACAGCCACACUGGGAUUGAGAACGGCCCAGACUCCUACGGGGGGCAGCAGUGAGGAAUUUUCCGCAAUGGACGAAGAGUCUGACGGAGCAACGCCGCGUGCAGGAGGACGCGUUUCGGCGUGUAAACUGCUUUUCUGUGGGACGAGUUUGGACGGUACCACAGGAAGAAGCCCCGGCUAACUACGUGCCAGCAGCCGCGGUAAUACGUAGGGGGCGAGCGUUGUCCGGAGUUACUGGGCGUUAAGGGCAUGCA